AAUCCCUUAACCAAUGAUGCCCCUUAAAACAAUCAAAAUAAAGGGUCAAACCCAAAGGAACAGAAGCAAAAAAACGAAAAGUAAUCGUCUCCUACUUCCAAAAUCCACACUUUUCAUAGAGAAAACAGUUCUUUCAUCCUGGAACUGAACGGAAAAUAAGUAAAAGAGGGAAACUUCUCAAUCAGUAAAGAGACACAACCAGCAUAACGAUAACUAUUCCUCAUUCGACCCAAGGUCAAGAAUGGAUCGUUCCCAGUCACUAGCAAACGAGAACCAACACGCACGAUUCGCUAAGAAAGCUUACCUGUUAUCGCUAAAUUGAAACGGUGAUUUGAGAAGUGGAACCUGUUCGUACGGAGGAUGCUUGGGGAUUUUUGUCUUCAUUCCAACUUGUGGUCCCUCCCUCAAUUCUCUUCAUCUCCAAGAAAAUUUUACUGUCGGAGAAAACAUUGAGCUUGUGAGCAUGGAUUUCACAUGGCUUUGGUGCGAUUCGUUCGGAGGUAAAAUGCUGCGGAAUUGGCGUUGUCGCGAUGUUUGAUUUCAAUCUGCUGUAGGAAUCCCAAGGAAUACAAAUGAUAAGCUUUUUGAUCCUUUCAGAAUUUUAUCUGAUAAAGCAAUUGGCUGGACAGGUUUGUCAUCCUGAAGUCUUACUGGAUUGCACUUCUUUAUCAUCAUCACUCUUGACAGGAAGGUCCUGACCCUUGAGCAAUAAUGUGACAGGUCCAAGACUUUUGACAUUUUCAUCAUCAGAACUGUUGGAACCUCUUGGUUUGGAUCGAAUAUGAAACCGAUAUUGGAGAUUCAUUACUUCUGCUUCUCAAAGCGAUCCAGUUUGUGGCAGGAUUUUUGUGGAAUUUCAUGAUGGCUGUUGGAAACUGAUUGAUUCUGGAGAGGGUUCUGAUGCUCCAUUGGCAUCAUUGGAUGUACAUGGAAUCAAGGAGUCCCUCUUGCAUAUGAUGUUACAAAGAAUUGAGAUAUCCUUCAAAGAAUCUAUUAGAAGAAAUGUCCAAAAUGAAGUGGAAAUGCAAAAUGGAAACACUGUCGGAAAACUCAAAAUAGAAGUAGUUGAAAUAGCCAUGGACCGAGAUUGCGGUACUGAUAUUUACUGUCCUACUUCUGUUUGCAUGGUUUUAUGAUUAUCAUUAUUGGACUGAUGCGAAUUUUAUUUUGCUUGCUUGGAGACGAAACAUGUAGGUUGGCGCUACUGCAAGGUUCGCUCGCCGGUCAGUUCAGGUUAAGCUCAAGGCAUAUCAAAACGAAUUGGUUUGUAUGGAAGUCGAGUCCCUUUCCAUGUGAAUUAAGCUUGGAUUAUCUAAAAGAUAUUUAUCAUUUUCAGAUUGUCCAUGCUAUCUUCGUAUCGUAGGUGAACCAUGGUCAUUCUCUACAUCUUUAGAAGAUGGAGUCUUCUCAACAGAUGGAGCGAUUCCAGACCGUUCCGUCCCGAAAUGACUAGCUGAAGCUGAACUAUAAGGUAUAUUUAUUUUGUCUGCAUUUUGAAUCUGGAGACUUGUUUUAAAGGUUAAGAACCGGAAACCUAUGAAGUUGAACUUUGUUCUCUUGAAGCUUUUUUCUAAAUUCUCGCCAUGCUCUAUGAUGGAGCCUGUAAAAGCCUUGAGACUAUCAAAUGAUGGCUGUGAAGUUUGAUGUUG